UGAGGAAUAUUGGUCAAUGGGCGUAAGCCUGAACCAGCCAUCCCGCGUGAAGGAAGAAGGCGCUAUGCGUCGUAAACUUCUUUUCCAGAAGAAGAAAACCCCCGACGUGUCGGGGCUUGCCGGUACUCUGGGAAUAAGCAUCGGCUAACUCCGUGCCAGCAGCCGCGGUAAUACGGAGGAUGCGAGCGUUAUCCGGAUUUAUUGGGUUUAAAGGGUGCGUAGGCGGAUUAAUAAGUCAGUGGUGAAAACCUGCAGCUUAACUGUAGAAUUGCCAUUGAUACUGUUAGUCUUGAGUACGGUCAAGGUAGGCGGAAUGUGUAAUGUAGCGGUGAAAUGCUUAGAUAUUACACAGAACACCGAUUGCGAAGGCAGCUUACUGGGCCAUUACUGACGCUGAUGCACGAAAGCGUGGGGAGCGAACA
rnacentral:rRNA from 1 species